rnacentral:lncRNA from 1 species
AUGCCAAUUUUUUUGCUUCGAAAUUUUCUUCCGUUAAUCGUUUCAGUAUUUGGGUCUGUAAAUCUUGUUUCGCUAAUUGGUAUUUUGACAUUUUGGGAUAACGUUCGUUUCUUGUUCAAAAGAUCAAGGGUUCUGGGCAAGUUAUUGGCCUCUUCGACCGAAUAAAUAAGGUAGUAAAGAAAUAAUUGAGAAAAAGAGAAGAUCCUUUUUAGAAUCUAGCCGAGCUGAAUCUUCGUAAACUUCUAUCCAGUUAUAGAACAGUAUACAUAUACUCUCAUGGUUCAAGAAUGGUAGCAAAUUCACGGCUGCUUAAAGCGAUUGGAAUUUCUGACAAUAAUAUUGACUCAUUGGCAUUGCAUGUAAGCUGCAAAUUGAAAAGUGUAUUGGGGAGUACGUAGGUAGACUGUGCACUUCUCACAUUGUAGAGGUACACGCCUCUGCUCAACUCAGGCUGUGCCCAUCCCUGUGGUGGCAAACUGAAUGUAUUGGAAUCCACUGCUUGCUAGGACUGAGUUGCACAUGAAUUUGAACCUGUGCCCAAGAUGAGCUGAU